GACUCUCACUGGUAGUUAGAUUCUAUCUUUAGCUUUGGCCCCUUUGAAUCCCCCCCGUAUCCCUUUCAGCGGCAUGGAGUGCAGUUUCGAAUGCCUCUGGAUCAUCUUCUACCUGAUCCUGCCUGUAUGGGGCUUCCCUGGUGGCGCAGUGGUUGAGAAUAUGCCUGCCAAUGCAGGGGACGCGAGUUCGAGCCCUGGUCCGGGAAGAUCCCACAUGCCGCAGAGCUACUAGGCCUGUGAGCCACAACUACUGAGCCUGCGCGUCUGGAGCCUGUGCUCCUCAACAAGAGAGGCCACGACAGUGAGAGGCCCGCACACCGCGAUGAAGAGUAGCCCCGCUUGCCACAACUAGAGAAAGCCCUCGCACAGAAACGAAGACCCAACACAGCCAAAAAUUUAGAAAAAAAAAAAAAAGCCAUUAAAGUGCUGAAAUAUUCCAUUGUCUGGAUAUACCACAGUUUACUCGUUCACCUACUGAAGGACAUCUUGGUGGCUUUCAACAUUUGGCA